UACGUAGGCAGCGAGCGUUGUUCGGAGUUACUGGGCGUAAAGGGUGUGUAGGCGGUUUUCUAAGUUUGGUGUGAAAUCUCCCGGCUCAACCGGGAGGGUGCGCCGAAAACUGGGAGACUAGAGUGCGGGAUGGGAGAGUAGAAUUCCUGGUGUAGCGGUGAAAUGCGUAGAUAUCGCUUGGAACGCCAAAGGUGAAAACAGGUUGCUGGGGUUGUGCCGACGCUGAGACACGAAAGCCAGGGGAGCAAACGGG
rnacentral:rRNA from 1 species